ACACAGACUAUACGUCAUACAGUUCAUCAGCUGGGACAGGGGGCGUGGCUAAAGCAUGGGGGCGGGCCAAACCAUGAACAAUGAAAACAGAACUCUCUGUUGAGUUCAAUGAUACCUCACA